GUGGGGAAUCUUGCACAAUGGGCGAAAGCCUGAUGCAGCGACGCCGCGUGGGGGAUGAAGCUUCUCGGAGUGUAAACCCCUUUCGACCGGGACGAAUGCCUCGCAAGAGGACUGACGGUACCGGUAUAAGAAGCCCCGGCUAACUACGUGCCAGCAGCCGCGGUAAGACGUAGGGGGCCAGCGUUGCUCGGAAUUACUGGGUGUAAAGGGUUCGUAGGCGGUGUGGCAAGUCGGGAGUGAAAUCUCUGAGCUUAACUCAGGGCCUGCUUCCGAAACUGCUGUGCUAGAGUGUGGGAGAGGCGCGUGGAAUUGCAGGUGUAGCGGUGAAAUGCGUAGAUAUCUGCAGGAACACCCGUGGCGAAAGCGGCGCGCUGGACCACUACUGACGCUGAGGAACGAAAGCUAGGGGAGCAAACAGGAUUAGAAACCCCGGUAGUCC
rnacentral:rRNA from 1 species